rnacentral:rRNA from 1 species
AACGAACGCUGGCGGCAUGCCUAACACAUGCAAGUCGAACGAGAACGUCGGGUCUAGUGGCGCAAGGGGGCGUCAGGCGUGGGAACCUGCCCUUAUGUUCGGAAUAACUCCCAGUAAGGGGUCCUAAUACCGGCUAAUGUCUUCGAGCCAAAGAGUUAUCGCCUUUGGAUGGGCCGGGGAUGGAUUAGCUUGUUGGUAGGGUAGAUGCUUAAUAAGGCGACGUUCCAUAGCCGGUAUGAGAGGAUGAUCAGGCACACUGGGACUGACACACGGCCCAGACUCCUACGGGAGGCAGCAGUGGGGAAGAAUGGACGAUGGGCGAAAGACUGAGCCAGCCAUGUCGCGUGAGUGAGGAAGGUGUUAGGGUUGUAAAGCUCUUUUACCCGGGAUGAUAAUGACAGUACCGGGAGAAUAAGCACCGGCUAACUCCGUG